UACAGAGGUCUCAAGCGUUGUUCGGAUUCAUUGGGCGUAAAAGGGUGUGUAGGUGGCGCGCUAAGUCGGGUGUGAAAUUUUCGGAGCUUAACUCCGAAAACUGCAUUCGAUACUGGCGUGCUUGAGGACUGGGAGAGGAGACUGGAAUUUACGGUGUAGCAGUGAAAUGCGUAGAUAUCGUAAGGAAGACCAGUGGCGAAGGCGGGUCUCUGGACAGUUCCUGACACUGAGACA
rnacentral:rRNA from 1 species